AUUGAACGCUGGCGGCAGGCCUAACACAUGCAAGUCGAGCGGAUGAGAAGAGCUUGCUCUUCGAUUCAGCGGCGGACGGGUGAGUAAUGCCUAGGAAUCUGCCUGUUAGUGGGGGAUAACGCGGGGAAACUCGCGCUAAUACCGCAUACGUCCUACGGGAGAAAGCGGGGGCUCUUCGGACCUCGCGCUAACAGAUGAGCCGAGGUCGGAUUAGCUAGUUGGUGGGGUAAAGGCCCACCAAGGCGACGAUCGGUAGCUGGUCUGAGAGGAUGAUCAGCCACACUGGAACUGAGACACGGUCCAGACUCCUACGGGAGGCAGCAGUGGGGAAUAUUGGACAAUGGGCGCAAGCCUGAUCCAGCCAUGCCGCGUGUGUGAAGAAGGCCUUCGGGUUGUAAAGCACUUUUGUUGGGGAAGAAAAGAUUCCGGUUAAUACCCGGGGUUUAUGACGGUACCCAAAGAAUAAGCACCGGCUAACUUCGUGCCAGCCGCCGCAGUAAGAC
rnacentral:rRNA from 1 species